rnacentral:tmRNA from 1 species
GGGGGCGACCUGGCUUCGACGUGGGUUGCAAAACCAGAGGUGCAUGCCGAGAAUGAGAAACUCUCGUAAAAAAGACUCACUAAACAUAAAUGCAAACGAAGAAAACUUCGCAGCUACUGAUUUUGAUGGAGUACAAGACGCUAUUGCAGCGUAAUCAAUUUCAGUAACUUGCACCGUGUACUGGCCUUAACCCCAGUGCCCCGUUGACCGAGCUCGCUUAUCGGUAUCGAAUCAACGGUCAUAGAAGAUAAGCUAGUGUCUUAAUCUAUCCCAGACUAAGGUGCGAAACUUAGGGAAUCGCUGAGUACUAUCCUGCCCGUCGGAGCGUCCUCAGUUAAAUCAAAUGACAAGGCUACGCAUGUAGAACCAAAGGCAGAGGAUUUGCGGACGCGGGUUCGAUUCCCGCCGCCUCCACCA